rnacentral:rRNA from 1 species
AACGAACGCUGGCGGCGUGCCUAACACAUGCAAGUCGAACGGGAAAGGGGGACGUUCGGUCUCCGAGUAAAGUAGGCGCACGGGUGAGUAACACGUAGGUAACCUGCCUCUAAGAUUGGGAGUAACCUGUCGAAAGACGAGCUAAUACCGAAUAAGACCACAGCUUCCUCAGAAGCAGGGGUACAAAGGUAAGCCUCUACUUGUAAGCUAUCACUUAGAGAUGGGCCUGCGUACCAUUAGCUA